rnacentral:rRNA from 1 species
UACGGAAGGCCCGAGCGUUAAUCGGGCUCACUGGGCUUAAAACGUGCGCCGGCGGAACGGAAGGCGCCUUGUGAAAUCCCACGGCUCAACCGUGGAAUUGCUGGGCGAACCGCCGUUCUUGAGGCAGGUAGGGGUCAGCGGAACUAUGGGUGGAGCGGUGAAAUGCGUAGAUAUCCAUGGGAACGCCGAUGGCGAAGGCAGCUGACUGGGCCUGUCCUGACGCUCAGGCACGAAAGCGUGGGUAGCAAACGGG